rnacentral:rRNA from 1 species
UACGUAGGGUGCGAGCGUUGUCCGGAAUUAUUGGGCGUAAAGAGCUCGUAGGCGGCUUGUCACGUCGGAUGUGAAAGCUCGGGGCUUAACCCCGAGUCUGCAUUCGAUACGGGCUAGCUAGAGUGUGGUAGGGGAGAUCGGAAUUCCUGGUGUAGCGGUGAAAUGCGCAGAUAUCAGGAGGAACACCGGUGGCGAAGGCGGAUCUCUGGGCCAUUACUGACGCUGAGGAGCGAAAGCGUGGGGAGCGAACAGG